rnacentral:rRNA from 1 species
UACGUAGGGGGCAAGCGUUGUCCGGAUUUAUUGGGCGUAAAGAGCGUGUAGGCGGCCAGGUAGGUCGGUUGUGAAAACUGGAGGCUCAACCUUCAGAGGUCGACCGAAACCAUCUGGCUAGAGUCCGGAAGAGGAGAGUGGAAUUCCCGGUGUAGCGGUGAAAUGCGCAGAUAUCGGGAAGAACACCCGUGGCUAAGGCGGCUCUCUAGUACGGUACUGACGCUGAAACGCGAAAGCGUGGGGAGCAAACAGGG